GAUGAACGCUGGCGGCGUGCCUAAUACAUGCAAGUCGAGCGAACGGACGAGAAGCUUGCUUCUCUGAUGUUAGCGGCGGACGGGUGAGUAACACGUGGAUAACCUACCUGUAAGACAGGGAUAACUUCGGGAAACCGGAGCUAAUACCGGAUAAUAUUUUGAACCGCAUGGUUCAAAAGUGAAAGACGGUCUUGCUGUCACUUAUAGAUGGAUCCGCGCUGCAUUAGCUAGUUGGUAAGGUAACGGCUUACCAAGGCAACGAUGCAUAGCCGACCUGAGAGGGUGAUCGGCCACACUGGAACUGAGACACGGUCCAGACUCCUACGGGAGGCAGCAGUAGGGAAUCUUCCGCAAUGGGCGAAAGCCUGACGGAGCAACGCCGCAUGAGUGAUGAAGGUCUUCGGAUCGUAAAACUCUGUUAUUAGGGAAGAACAUAUGUGUAAGUAACUGUGCACAUCUUGACGGUACCUAAUCAGAAAGCCACGGCUAACUACGUGCCAGCAGCCGCGGUAAUACGUAGGUGGCAAGCGUUAUCCGGAAUUAUUGGGCGUAAAGCGCGCGUAGGCGGUUUUUUAAGUCUGAUGUGAAAGCCCACGGCUCAACCGUGGAGGGUCAUUGGAAACUGGAAAACUUGAGUGCAGAAGAGGAAAGUGGAAUUCCAUGUGUAGCGGUGAAAUGCGCAGAGAUAUGGAGGAACACCAGUGGCGAAGGCGACUUUCUGGUCUGUAACUGACGCUGAUGUGCGAAAGCGUGGGGAUCAAACAGGAUUAGAUACCCUGGUAGUCCACGCCGUAAACGAUGAGUGCUAAGUGUUAGGGGGUUUCCGCCCCUUAGUGCUGCAGCUAACGCAUUAAGCACUCCGCCUGGGGAGUACGACCGCAAGGUUGAAACUCAAAGGAAUUGACGGGGACCCGCACAAGCGGUGGAGCAUGUGGUUUAAUUCGAAGCAACGCGAAGAACCUUACCAAAUCUUGACAUCCUUUGACAACUCUAGAGAUAGAGCCUUCCCCUUCGGGGGACAAAGUGACAGGUGGUGCAUGGUUGUCGUCAGCUCGUGUCGUGAGAUGUUGGGUUAAGUCCCGCAACGAGCGCAACCCUUAAGCUUAGUUGCCAUCAUUAAGUUGGGCACUCUAAGUUGACUGCCGGUGACAAACCGGAGGAAGGUGGGGAUGACGUCAAAUCAUCAUGCCCCUUAUGAUUUGGGCUACACACGUGCUACAAUGGACAAUACAAAGGGCAGCGAAACCGCGAGGUCAAGCAAAUCCCAUAAAGUUGUUCUCAGUUCGGAUUGUAGUCUGCAACUCGACUACAUGAAGCUGGAAUCGCUAGUAAUCGUAGAUCAGCAUGCUACGGUGAAUACGUUCCCGGGUCU
rnacentral:rRNA from 1 species